rnacentral:tRNA from 1 species
GCAAUCGUAGCUCAGUUGGUAGAGCAUUGGUCUUCCAAACCAGAUGUCGCGCGUUCGAGUCGCGUCGAUUGCUCCA